GCACCAGCUCCUCCUGCUCGGCCUGCUGCUUCAGCCGGAGCUCCCGUCGCUUCUGCCGGGCCUCGCGGUGCGGCGCCGGCCGGCCCUGACGGAGCAGGCUCACGCACGUCUGAAUGGCUGAAACGUGAUGGGAAAAGUGUGCCGCCCACCUGUUUGAGCACGUCCAGGAUGAGCUCCUGGUAGACCUCGUUGAUGCCCAUGGAGAGCGUCUGGUGGUCUAUGCCCUUGCUGAAGUGACCCGAGCCCACCAGGCUGAUGAGCUCCCAGACGCUCAGACUCUGCUGCUUCGAGUUCAGCUGCAGCUUGUAGUCCUCAAAACGCUCCUCCACCCAGCUGCCCCCCAUCGCCUCCGUCAGCUUGCGAAGGAAGUACUCAAUCUGAGAUGUGCAUACAAACAGGUUAUUAAACAGAUGGCCGCCCAUCUUGAGCCGGGGUCUGCUCCGAGGUUUCUGCCUUCUAAAA